GCUCCUCCUCUAGCAGCGGCGCCCCCCCCCCAGUUCUCUCACAAGUCCUUAUUUCUUCUCUACUCGCCCCGGCGCGGCCUUCACUGCUCGGCUUCAACAUUGACGAGCUUCCGUUGCCGUUCAUGGAGAAUGGUGUGGUUUCAUCGGCUUUGGUCAUAUUUGGGAGUGCUAGUGUCUUUGAUGCAGUUACUGCAGAAAAGGUUCGUGAACUUCUUAUUGUGGCUGCUGCAGUUGCUGCUGAGGUCAUUGGAAACUGUCAUUGAUGUAAAGAGUAGUGGCCAGAACUGUCCUCCAGCUGCUGCAGAUUUUGUUUGUAGUUGAAGAC